GAUGAACGCUAGCUACAGGCUUAACACAUGCAAGUCGAGGGGCAGCAUGGUCUUAGCUUGCUAAGGCCGAUGGCGACCGGCGCACGGGUGAGUAACACGUAUCCAACCUGCCGUCUACUCUUGGACAGCCUUCUGAAAGGAAGAUUAAUACAAGAUGGCAUCAUGAGUCCGCAUGUUCACAUGAUUAAAGGUAUUCCGGUAGACGAUGGGGAUGCGUUCCAUUAGAUAGUAGGCGGGGUAACGGCCCACCGAGUCUUCGAUGGAGAGGGGUUCUGAGGGGAAGGCACCCCAGAUUGGAAACGAGAUACGGACCAAACUCGUACGGGAGGCAGCAGUGAGGAAGAUUGGGCAAGGGGGGAGGGCCUGAACCAGCCAAGUAGCGUGAAGGACGACUGCCCUAUGGGUUGUAAACUUCUUGGAUAAAGGAAUAAAGUCGGGUAUGGAUACCCGUUUGCAUGUACUUUAUGAAUAAGGAUCGGCUAACUCCGUG
rnacentral:rRNA from 1 species